ACCAGUAGAUUCUUGAGAGAGCAGCCAGUAAUGGGCCAGCAUCAAAGAAGCUGAUGAGGGACUUUUUGCACCCCCACACCUAAAGCAAGAAGAUAUUGAGGGCCCAGACUAAUUACUUCUUUAUUCUAUUCUGGGAUGUCUUCAGAAAUCCUUUCUUCGUGAUGUGCAAUGGAUGCUAUCAUUUCAGUCACCAUGAUGUCGAAGUGGGAAUCGAUAUUUGAGGGGAGGGAAAUAUCCCAACCCUGACCAUCUACUGAACAAUGACUCACCAAUAGCUGCACAACAGUCAGGACAGAGCACAUGUCCGGAAAAUUUCAUUUUAAUUUGCCUCAGCUGGGACUACAGUUACUGUUUGAAAGAAAGAACAAUCAACAAAGUACCUAGGAAAGAAGACAUCUUGCAACACUCUUCAAUUUCUUCUUAAAUGCUUGGGGGAAACGUGAAAAAUUUUGAUAAAUAGGAAAACAAAAUUGUUGGCAA
rnacentral:lncRNA from 1 species